rnacentral:rRNA from 1 species
AGAGUUUGAUCAUGGCUCAGGACGAACGCUGGCGGCGCGCCUAAUACAUGCAAGUCGAACGGGUUACCCUUCGGGGUAGCCAGUGGCGGACGGGUGAGUAACACGUGGGUGACCUGCCCCGCAGUGGGGAAUAACUCUGGGAAACCAGAGCUAAUACCGCAUGAGCUCCAGCUUUCAGUAGUUGGAGUAAAGAGCAAUCGCUGUGGGAGGGGCCUGCGUCGGAUUAGCUAGUCGGUGGGGUAACGGCCUACCGAGGCGACGAUCCGUAGCUGGUCUGAGAGGACGACCAGCCACGCUGGGACUGAGACACGGCCCAGACUCCUACGGGAGGCAGCAGUAAGGAAUAUUCCACAAUGGACGCAAGUCUGAUGGAGCGACGCCGCGUGAGCGAAGAAGCCCUUCGGGGUGUAAAGCUCUUUUCCCAGGGAUGACAAUGACAGUACCUGGGGAAUAAGCCUCGGCUAACUACGUGCCAGCAGCCGCGGUAAUACGUAGGAGGCGAGCGUUGUCCGGAAUCACUGGGCGUAAAGCGCGUGCAGGCGGCACGGCAAGUCUGCUGUGAAAGCUCUCGGCUUAACCGGGAGAGGUCGGUGGAAACUGCCGGGCUAGAGGACGGUAGAGGGGGGUGGAAUUCCCGGUGUAGUGGUGAAAUGCGUAGAUAUCGGGAGGAACACCAGCGGCGAAGGCGGCCCCCUGGGCCGCUCCUGACGCUGAGACGCGAAGGCUAGGGUAGCGAACGGGAUUAGAUACCCCAGUAGUCC